ANUANUANGANCUGCGAAUGGCUCAUUAUAUNAGUUANCGUUUAUUUGAUAGUACCUUACUACAUGGAUAACCGUGGUAAUUCUAGAGCUAAUACAUGCUGAAAAUCCCGACUUCGGAAGGGAUGUAUUUAUUANAUUCAAAACCAAUGCCCUUCGGGGCUCCAAUGGUGAUUCAUGAUAACUUCUCAAAUCGCACGGCCCCGCGCCGGCAAUGGUUCAUUCAAAUUUCUUCCCUAUCAACUUUCAAUGCUACNAGUGUCCUANCAUGGUUGCANCGGGUAACGGGGANACG
rnacentral:rRNA from 1 species